rnacentral:misc_RNA from 1 species
GCAUUCAGAAGCCAUUGAGCAUUACACUGCUGCCCUGUCAUGCAAUGUAGAGUCACGUCCUUUUGCAGCUAUUUGUUUCUGCAAUCGAGCUGCUGCUUACAAAGCAUUGGGCCAAAUUAUUGAUGCCAUUGCGGACUGCAGCUUAGCAAUAGCUCUUGAUGGAAAUUAUCUGAAGGUUUUACUCUGAACUGAUUCCUUCUUUUCUCUUUGAUAGUGUUAUUCACCCUUUCUACACUUUGGGGAGUUAAAUCUGAUGUUUCUGAGGGAAUUUAGAAUUACUUGAUGGGUAAACCUGCUACUUUUUCCACAUUUGAAACUAUAAUUUUUUAAAAAGCAACUUAAUUUGGCUCUAGGAUCAGAUUGCUUAAAAUUAGAGAAUGUGAUCCUUAAAAUUAGAGAAUGUGAUACUAUGAAUAAUAUAAUGCAGUUACUCCCAUUUAAAUUUGCAUCUAUUUAUAGUGAUGUACAUGAGCAACCACACUUAUAUCACUUAAAAUGCUAGUAGUGGUGAAUUUUUUAACUAAUGUUCUCAGUUAAAACAUUAGAACUUCUAAAUGGAGGCUUAUAAUAGUUCUCUUAAAGCCUGCUGUCCCACAUGCUGAUGCACCGAAACAACUGAAAGAAUAAAUCUCUGUAGGCUGCUAUCAAGAAGAUAUAUCUUGAAGCUUAUUAAAUUUACUUUGUUAUUCAAGCUGAUCCUUAUGCUUCAAUAGGCAAUUUCUAGAAGAUCAACUUUAUAUGAGAUGAUUAGGGAUUAUGGACAAGCAGCUAGUGAUCUUCAUAGACUUGUAACUCUUCUCACUAAGCAAGUAGAGGAGAAGACCAAGCAGUUUGGAUCAUCUGAUAGAAUAGGAAACUUGGCAAAUGAUCUAAGACAAGCUCGCUUGCGUCUUUCCACAAUUGAAGAAGAAUCCAGAAAGGAGAUUCCUCUGGAUAUGUACCUCAUUUUGUAAGUCUUCUUUAUUUAGCAAGCUACAUAAGUUCUCACCUUUUUUUAUGAUGUCAGGUUUAAUGAAAAAUUUUAGCUAAGAAUCCCAAAUGCAUUAUUCUGUAGGAAAAUUUGCUUUAAGUAACCUCAAUUUCUGUCUGCAUGCAUUUGUGAAUUAAUAUGACACUUGAGAAAAUACAUGAUAGAAGUGUUAUGGCCAUUUUCACUCCAGAAUCAGUUGUGCCCCAUAGUUUCUUUUCCUCCACAUUUUUCUUUGAAGCCAUUUUCUGAGAAAAAGUAUGCUUGUCUUCUGAUCAAUGAGCACUUUGGGGUGAGUGCAUUUAAUUCUUUAUCUGUUUGCAUUAUCUUGGAUGAUUCUUAACAAUGUUCACUGUUAUGUAGAUCAACAUGGUCCAGAAAUGAGGGUGCUGUGUGCCAGUUAAAGUGGAAGAUUGUAUGAAGGGAGGGGUAGACAUUUUUAGAUCAUUGAAAUGCAAUGUGAUGUGGUCAUUUAGGUGUUAUAUUGAAAUAAAUUCCCAAGCAUCACUCAACUCAUAAAAAACCAUUAUACUGGUAUAAUUUGAGAAUAAUUAGUAAUCAGAAAACUUUCAUGAAAAAGUUUAUUCUUGAUUCUUGGGUAAAUGGGUGAGAUUAUCUUGUUUUACUUCGCAAUGAACUGUUUUAGCUUUUUGUUCGAAAUUGAAAGUACUAGAUGUUUUAGAACAAAAGUUCAAAUUGAAAAUUGCUAGGUAUAUAGGGAUUUAUGAUAACCCUCGUCUCCCUGUUUAUUUGUAUAAAUAUAAAAAUGUGUAUGUGAGAUGUAAUGCCUCUACCUUCGCUUUAAAAAUGUCUUGCUGCUAAGUAACUGCUGAUAGUUAAGGUCAAUCAUAGUUGAGGCUUAAAAUCGUUUAAUAUUCAAAUGAUGAUGGCAGGGGAGUUGAACCUUCUGCUUCAGCCUCAGAAAUUAAGAAGGCAUAUCGGAAAGCUGCACUUAGGCACCAUCCUGACAAGGCUGGUCAGUCCUUGGCAAGAAGUGAGAAUGGAGAUGAUGGGCUUUGGAAGGAGAUAGGAGAAGAAAUCCACAAGCAUGCGGACAGACUUUUUAAAAUGAUUGGGGAGGCAUAUGCAGUACUUUCGGAUCCUACUAAGCGUUCACAGUAUGAUCUUGAAGAAGAGCGGAUGAAUGCCAGAAAGAAACAUAAUGGAAGAAGCACAUAUAGCACAUACACAGAUGUACAGAACUAUCAGUUUGAAAGAAGUGGCACUAGGAGACAAUGGCGAGAGGUUUGGAAAUCAUAUGGCAGGUAGCACACCAAUGGACGGGCCAGCCACUUGGUCAAAGAGAUCUUGAUAACAAUCAUGUGUGCUUGCUUGAUAAGAAUCUCCAGAUUUCAGAGUAACUGCUGUGUGUGCUACAGCUACGCAUGGUAAGAAUUUUGAGAUUUCUGAUGAAAAUCAGUUGAUGGGUUUGAUUGAUUAGCUGCAGUCUUUAUGUAACUUCAAUCGAGAGGGCUUGCAGAUGGGAAGUUGCUUCGGCUACUUUGAGAAUUGAUCACUUAACACGCAGCAGGAGGAUGGUUAAAAGCUUUGGUGAAAAUUGUGGUUUUCUCACCCAAAACACCAGAAAGUGCGGGGAAAGAAACUGGCUCCUAUUGGGAUUUUUGACAGACGAUUGUAAACUUGUGGGGAAGUUUGUGAAUUUGAAGACUAGAGCGGAAAAAGGUAAAGAAAAGAAAAGGUAAAUUGCUUCUUGUUUUUUUUAACCAUAUAUGAGAAAGAAAGUUAUUACUAACUAUUUGAGGUGUGUAAAUGUACUGGAAACUUGUACAGAUGA